rnacentral:rRNA from 1 species
CCCCAGACUCCUACGGGAGGCAGCAGUGAGGAAUAUUGGUCAAUGGGCGGGAGCCUGAACCAGCCAAGCCGCGUGAAGGAAGAAGGCGCCAGGCGUCGUAAACUUCUUUUGUCGGGGAACAAAGGGCGCCACGCGUGGCGUUGUGAGUGUACCCGAAGAAAAAGCAUCGGCUAACUCCGUGCCAGCAGCCGCGGUAAUACGGAGGAUGCGAGCGUUAUCCGGAUUUAUUGGGGUUAAAGGGGGCGUGAGGGGGCCGGAAAAGGGAGGGGAAAGGGCGGGGGCCAAACCCCGGACGGGCCGGUGAAACUGUCGGACUAGAGACGGCGAGAAGUACGCGGAAUGCGCGGUGUAGCGGUGAAAUGCAUAGAUAUCGCGCAGAACUCCGAUUGCGAAGG